rnacentral:rRNA from 1 species
UACGAAGGGUGCAAGCGUUACUCGGAAUUACUGGGCGUAAAGGGUGCGUAGGCGGUUCGUUAAGUCUGUUGUGAAAUCCCCGGGCUCAACCUGGGAAUGGCGAUGGAUACUGGCGAGCUAGAGUGUGUCAGAGGAUGGUGGAAUUCCCGGUGUAGCGGUGAAAUGCGUAGAGAUCGGGAGGAACAUCAGUGGCGAAGGCGGCCAUCUGGGACAACACUGACGCUGAAGCACGAAAGCGUGGGGAGCAAACAGG